UCGGGAAGACGAUGGUGUCCGUGGGAGGUGACAGAGCGGGACCCUGGCGAGGAUCCCUUGAGUGGAUGUCACCAUCGUCCAAAUCAAACCGGUGGUGCAUUGUGAUAUAAAUGUGCCUUCCAAGUGGCAAACAUAUCAUCGUAUAUCUCGACAUAUAAAGUGGACUCCAAAGGAAAAGAACCUUGUAAAUAUGAUGGCAUACCCCCUAAAACACAGGAUUCUGUUUAUUAUGCCAAAGAAGAAAAGAAGAAAACAUUGGCAGAACCUUUAGUCCAAAGGGGUACAGGGUCCAGGACCUUCAUGAAGACAGAGACAAAAGCAGAUGGGGCUAAAAUCGAGGCCACCACGCUGAGCACCUUGGCAGAUGCAAACAGGAAGGAAGGUGACGUGUAUAAAGCACCGACUCCUAGCAAGGAAACCCAAGGGGCGUUGGACGUCAAAGAGGAGCACAACGUGCAGCUGGAGGUGCCUGUGGACCAGAGACAAGCUGAGAUAGUUAAAGAAGAUGAAGAGAUACAUGAGAACACCCCUGAUUUUGAGGGCAACAAGGAUAAAGAAGAUGCAAGGCUUUGUGAAGACGUUGAAAGAAAGAUUAUAAUAUGAACAUAUCGGUCACUUCCGACAGCCAAGCAGCACGACAGGAUGCCAUAGUGACAAGUUCCAGGUGCAACGUGUAUAAGAAGAUAUUGUGACAUUUUUUCCCCCAAAGGCUUC
rnacentral:sRNA from 1 species